rnacentral:rRNA from 1 species
AUUGAACGCUGGCGGAAUGCUUUACACAUGCAAGUCGAACGGCAGCACGGACUUCGGUCUGGUGGCGAGUGGCGAACGGGUGAGUAAUGUAUCGGAACGUGCCCAGUCGUGGGGGAUAACGUAGUGAAAAUUACGCUAAUACCGCAUACGAGCUAUGGAUGAAAGCGGGGGAUCGCAAGACCUCGCGCGAUUGGAGCGGCCGAUAGCAGAUUAGGUAGUUGGUGGGGUAAAGGCCCACCAAGCCAAAGAUAUGUAGCUGGUCUGAGAGGACGACCAGCCAAACUGGAACUGAGACACGGUCCAGACUCCUACGGGAGGCAGCAGUGGGGAAUUUUGGACAAUGGGCGAAAGCCUGAUCCAGCCAUUCCGCGUGCAGGAUGAAGGCCCUCGGGUUGUAAACUGCUUUUGUACAGAACGAAAAGGUUUCUACUAAUACUAGGAGCUCAUGACGGUACUGUAAGAAUAAGCACCGGCUAACUACGUGCCAGCCGCCGCCGUAA